ensembl:lncRNA
GUUUUGGUAGUGGCUAAAUUAGCAUGUCGCGAUACUACAGGGGAUCACGUCUAUGCAAAUAUUUGGCUUUCAAUUUGGAUUGUAUCUGUGCAAUGUGUUUUAAAUGCUGAAAUGUCGUGUUACAUUCACUUUUUACACGCACACAUCCGCCCAACAGUCUAAACUCCACCAUAUGCAAUGUGUUUUAAAUGCUGUGCUGUUGGUCAUGUGUUGAAAGAUCGUCCGCCGUUCAACUCAAGGUGAGGUGCUGGUUAUAUUGCUAAUGCUGGGUUUUGACUGUAUUUGCAUUUUAGUUGUCCAUCAAAAGAUUUUUUUGAAAAAUGGUUAGGGUGUGUGUGUGUGUGUGUGUGUGUGUGUGUGUGUGUGUGUGGCUGUGUGGCUGUCUAGGUGUGUGUGUGUGUUUGUCUAGGUGUGUGUGUCUGUCUAGGUGUGUGUGUCUGUCUAGGUGUGUGUGUGUGUGUGUGUCUAGGUGUGUGUGUCUGUCUAGGUGUGUGUGUGUGUGUGUGUGUCUGUCUAGGUGUGUGUGUGUGUGUCUGUCUAGGUGUGUGUGUGUGUCUGUCUGUCUAGGUGUGUGUGUGUGUGUGUGUGUGUCUAGGUGUGUGUGUGUCUGUCUGUCUGUCUGUCUAGGUGUGUGUGUGUGUGUGUGUGUGUCUGUCUAGGUGUGUGUGUCUGUCUGUCUAGGUGUGUGUGUGUGUGUGUCUAGGUGUGUGUGUCUGUCUGUCUGUCUGUCUGUCUGUGUGUGUGUGUGUGUCUGUCUAGGUGUGUGUGUCUGUCUGUCUGUCUGUCUAGGUGUGUGUGUGUGUGUGUCUGUCUAGGUGUGUGUGUGUGUGUGUGUGUGUGUGUGUGUGUGUCUGUCUAGGUGUGUGUGUGUCUGUCUAGGUGUGUGUGUCUGUCUAGGUGUGUGUGUGUGUCUCUGUCUAGGUGUGUGUGUGUGUGUCUGUCUGUGUCUG